rnacentral:rRNA from 1 species
GGGAAAUCAGCUAAUACCGCAUACGCCCUACGGGGGAAAGCGGGGGAUCUUCGGACCUCGCGCUAAUGGAUGAGCCUAAGUCGGAUUAGCUUGUUGGUGAGGUAAAGGCUCACCAAGGCGACGAUCCGUAGCUGGUCUGAGAGGACGAUCAGCCACACUGGGACUGAGACACGGCCCAG